GCCAGCAGCCAUAUCACCCUGCAACUCACCACUGGCAGCUCACAGGAGCUCAGCAGUGUGAGCCUGGCCAGUACCUGGAUGGGAGACUCCUGGGAAAGCUAAGGUUGCUGCUGGAA
rnacentral:rRNA from 1 species